rnacentral:sRNA from 1 species
UCCGGGUUGUGCAGCUGCCCGCCCCGGACUCAAAGUUCUAGUCUGGCCCUGGAUGGGAAGUUGGCGUGGCCGGGAUGCCUUCUAACUUUUUCCCCCGGUGGGGACUGACGUUCCUUUCGAGCUGCUGGCGGUGCCGCCGGGCAGCGUCGCGCCCCGCGGUCACUCCCCAGCCCUGGCCCCCAAGCCGGGCCCGGCGCGCGCAGCAGGUUGAGGGGGCGAGUGCCGAGGCGAGCGGCGGUCCGGCGUCCCCGGUCCCUGCUCUCCAUCUCGGGCUGAGGAUUCGCUGACGCAGCAAGCCGGCCGAUGCCCUGAGGGGACGCAGCCAGGGCGAGCGGGGGAAACGCUGUGUCAUCCCCUGGGGCCGUCGUCCCUCCGAGGGGCUGCCGCCCGGGAACCCCCCCAGCCUCUUCCUCGCUGUGUCCUCCGCGGAGGGUCUCCCGCGCCCGGGUCCCCGCGCCGCCGGGUACUGGCUCUGGGCACACCCGCUCAGGCUCUUCGGGGCACGGCGACAGGGGUCCUUUCCCUCCGGGACCUCCUUUGGGGCGUCGCCGACUCGGCCCUAGACUGCGGAGGCGGGGGUGGAACGCGGAGCCCGGGCGCCUUGUUGGGCCCGGAGACCGGAGCCGGGGAGGGGCCGCUCCCGCGCCGCAGACCCUCGGGCUCCCGCGCCUCCCGCACCAAGGAGACGGAAUUUAUUAGGAAACAGGCAGAGAGACCGCUGAAGUGAACCGGGGCUUGCCAGGGGUGGGCGGCAGCCGAGGCGGCCAGAAAAGAACUUUGAAGGAAGAAAGGAAAUUGUGCUAAGACGUCCUUCUAUGGCCGCUUCAGGCACUUCUUGGAUAUCAUCGACCCUCGCACACUCUUCGUCACUGAGGCUCACAGCUGGAGGAAAAUUUGCCUCAGGAUGAAUCACACCUUUGGGUCUCAUCCAUACGUAAUUUAGAGGAUUCUGGAUGAGACUCUGACUUCAGACUUUUGAGUUGCUGCUGGAAUGACUGACUUUUCGGGCUACUGAGAUGGAAUGAAUAUUUGUGAGAAGGACAUAAAUUUUGGGGGGCCAGGGUGAGAUGCUAUGGCUGAAAUGUGGCCCAUACAAAAUUCAGGUGUUGAAACUUAAUGGCAAAUGUGAUAGUAUUAAGAGGUGGGAUCUUUAAGAGGCAAUUAGGCCAUGAGGGUCCCUCCCUCAUGAAUGGAAUUAAGGCCCUUGUAAAAGAGGCCUGGCUGGGUAUGGUGGCUCACGGCGUAAUCCCAGCACUUUGGGAGGCUAAGGCUCAAGAAUCACUUGAGCCCAGGAGUUUGAGACCAGCCUGGGCAACAUGACCAGACCCCAACUCUUAAAAAAAUUUUUCAAAAAUUAGCUGGGUGUCGUGGCAUGCACCUGUAGUCCCAGCUACUCGAAUCGGUUGAGCCUGGGAGGUCGAGGUUGCAGUGAACUGUGAUCACACCACUGCACUCCAGUCUGGGUGACAGAGCAAGACACUAUCUCAAAAAAUAAAAGAGGUUUCACACAGGGUUUGGCCCUCUUGCCGUUCUGUUCUGUUGAGUACACAGCCUUCCUUCCCUCAGAAAGAUGCUCUCACCAGAUACCAAAUGCUGGUUCUUGAUCUUGGACUUCCAGCUUCCAGAACUGUGAGAAAUGAAUUUCUGUUCUUUAUAAAUUAUCUAGUCUGUGGCAUUCUGUUAUAGC